AGAGGAUAGAAAGAUGGUGGGGAAUUCUGAGAGGGAAGUGUACAGAUAGAUGGAUUCAUCACUUUAAGGAAUUGGAAAAGAAUGGUGAUUUUACAAUUGGGGAUAAAUUACAUACGGCCUUAGUUCAGUAUUGCUACAUGAAUAUUAUUAGGACAGAAUUGGAGGAAGUUAAAUUUUCGUGGAAUAACCAUCGCAUCAGGUGCCAGAAAAGGGGAGAUACUGUUUCUGGAAUUCCAGAAGUACUUUAUCAUGUUCCAGAAAUGUUAGGUCAGAUAUUUUUAGUAAUAAUAACCAAACUGUCUGCCUGAGGCUGUGAAGCUCUACCCAUUCCAUGACGUAAAUGGUCCAUCUUAUCGACCUGUCCAACUUCUCACUCAACAGCCCAAC